rnacentral:lncRNA from 1 species
GUUGUUGAUUCACAGUCGACGAGUUUCACGAAGAAGAAGAAGAAGGAGGUUCGUGCAAACAGAGCACCACGGCGCGGCGACUUCGAUGGAUGGGCUGACAGAAGAGCAAGAAGAAGGACUGGAGGAAAUUGUAUUUUUGUCUUGAAAAAUUGCAUAAGCUAUUUGCAUAAGCUAAAAAAUAAGCUAAUCCAAAAGAAGCCUUAUUUUCCACUACUAUACAUUUAUCACAUAGGUCUUAGAAAAUGAGCACUAACAUGCUUAUAAAUUUUCA